rnacentral:rRNA from 1 species
GUACGGGAGGCAGCAGUGGGGAAUAUUGGACAAUGGGGGGAACCCUGAUCCAGCCAUGCCGCGUGUGUGAAGAAGGCCUUUUGGUUGUAAAGCACUUUAAGCGGGGAGGAGGCUACUUAGAUUAAUACUCUAGGAUAGUGGACGUUACCCGCAGAAUAAGCACCGGCUAACUCUGUGCCAGCAGCCGCGGUAAUACAGAGGGUGCGAGCGUUAAUCGGAUUUACUGGGCGUAAAGCGUGCGUAGGUGGUCUUUUAAGUCGGAUGUGAAAUCCCUGAGCUUAACUUAGGAAUUGCAUUCGAUACUGGGAGACUAGAGUAUGGGAGAGGAUGGUAGAAUUCCAGGUGUAGCGGUGAAAUGCGUAGAGAUCUGGAGGAAUACCGAUGGCGAAGGCAGCCAUCUGGCCUAAUACUGACACUGAGGCACGAAAGCAUGGGGAGCAAACAGGAUUAGAUACCCUGGUAGC